UCUUCAGCACGGUUCUGACACCCUCAUUCACUGAGGGUAUUAAGACCUAGUCUUAAAGAGCGUCAUUCACUGCUUCUGUUGCUCUGCAUCAUGGGGGCACAUGAAUGGCUCACCAGUGACUGGCCACGAAUUAGCCAAACAAGAAACACAGGGACCAGAACGGCUGGCUGUGCUCUGGCAAAUAUGGGAUUAGAGAAGAUUCAGGAUAUGACACAAAAGGGAAGGAUGAGUGUCAGAGGAAGCGGAAAAAAGAGCAAUGGAUGGAUUUAAAACUUCAUCUGAUGCUUGUGCAGCAGGCCAUGAAUAUCAUGUCAUGAAUGAAUGGCUGAGGUUUCAUCAUGACUCAGCAUAGUGUAAAUCCCAGACAGAUGGUUUUCAUAUAGCAAGUCGUAGGCCUGUGUUGUAUUUUUAGAAUUAAAAGUUAGUUUAGCACUCAUAGAACACAUGAUGAAGACGUGACCUUCUGAAAAUUUUAGAGACAUUGUGGCAGUGUUCUCGAGAGAAUGGCUUUGACUGGUACGGUGCAAACGCCUGAAGUGUUCUUUGGCCAAGGAAAUCCUGGAAGUUGUUCAGCUCUUCUGAUAAGAUGUUUCCUGGAACACAAUGUUGUGCUCGCUGGAAUAUAGGAGGAAAGCAGGACUGUUCUGUCCGUUAAUAAUUGAUACAGUGUCUCCAGGUACGGCUUCUUGGCACUGCCUGUCCUGUGAGCUUUCCCAGCUAUUCCCAACAAUUGUCUGAAGCAUUUUCACAAGGAUCAUAGGAAGGGUGUUGUACUUCCUCUUGUUCCUCUUAUUGUGUAAGCAGAUAAAAGUCAGAAUAUCCUUAUCAGUACUGAGGAAUAUGGCCAUUUUGUAAACCAUGUGAACCCAAAUCCUUAUGAUUUUAUUAUUGUAUUUAUUUAUUCAUUUCUUCUAAAAGCUAACUCUGUUUUGUCUCAGUUUUAGUUAACACACCUCAAACCAGUGCUUCAAUACAUUUUAUUCCACCAUCUCUCACAAUUCCUUACCAGUGUCAGCUAGCUAAGUGCAAAUCUUAUGUUGCUCUUCCUUUACAUGCCAUUGAAUAUAUAAUGAUUUUAAUCUUUAUUCUUUUACUUGCGGGAGACAGUUUUGAUUGCUGUUGGGAGUGUAAUGAUCCCAUGUAAUUAGUCUCACAAUAAAUUGCAAUAACACAUUGCACAGCUGGGAGAUGUAGCUGUGUUGCACUGGAAUAAUCUUCUUCUCUGGAAAUUAAAGACUUAGGCUAUU